AAUUGCAGAAUCCCGUGAACCAUCGAGUCUUUGAACGCAAGUUGCGCCCCAAGCCGUCAGGCCGAGGGCACGUCUGCCUGGGUGUCACGCAUCAUUGCCCCCACCCCUCCCCCUUCGGGGGGUGCGGACUGUGGGGGCGGACAAUGGCCUCCCGUUGGCUCUCUGCCUGCGGCUGGUUGAAAUUUGAGUCUCCGGCUGCACGAGCCGCGACAAUCGGUGGUGAAAACAAAGCCUCUCGAGUUCCUGUCGCGUGCAUGCGCUGCCCUGCGAGGGCUCAUGACCCAUGCGUUGUAUUUUUGGCGCUCGCUUUGCGACCCCAGGUCAGGCGGGAUUACCCGCUGAAUUUAAGCAUAUCAAUAAGCGGAGGAAAAGAAACUUACCAGGAUUCCCCUAGUAGCGGCGAGCGAACCGGGAAGAGCCCAGCUUGAGAAUCGGGUGCCCUCGGCAUCCGAAUU
rnacentral:rRNA from 1 species